CGAACGGUAACAGGAAGAAGCUUGCUUCUUUGCUGACGAGUGGCGGACGGGUGAGUAAUGUCUGGGAAACUGCCUGAUGGAGGGGGAUAACUACUGGAAACGGUAGCUAAUACCGCAUAACGUCGCAAGACCAAAGAGGGGGACCUUCGGGCCUCUUGCCAUCGGAUGUGCCCAGAUGGGAUUAGCUAGUAGGUGGGGUAACGGCUCACCUAGGCGACGAUCCCUAGCUGGUCUGAGAGGAUGACCAGCCACACUGGAACUGAGACACGGUCCAGACUCCUACGGGAGGCAGCAGUGGGGAAUAUUGCACAAUGGGCGCAAGCCUGAUGCAGCCAUGCCGCGUGUAUGAAGAAGGCCUUCGGGUUGUAAAGUACUUUCAGCGGGGAGGAAGGGAGUAAAGUUAAUACCUUUGCUCAUUGACGUUACCCGCAGAAGAAGCACCGGCUAACUCCGUGCCAGCAGCCGCGGUAAUACGGAGGGUGCAAGCGUUAAUCGGAAUUACUGGGCGUAAAGCGCACGCAGGCGGUUUGUUAAGUCAGAUGUGAAAUCCCCGGGCUCAACCUGGGAACUGCAUCUGAUACUGGCAAGCUUGAGUCUCGUAGAGGGGGGUAGAAUUCCAGGUGUAGCGGUGAAAUGCGUAGAGAUCUGGAGGAAUACCGGUGGCGAAGGCGGCCCCCUGGACGAAGACUGACGCUCAGGUGCGAGAGCGUGGGGAGC
rnacentral:rRNA from 1 species